rnacentral:rRNA from 1 species
UACGGAGGGUGCGAGCGUUGUUCGGAAUCACUGGGCGUAAAGCGCGUGUAGGCGGCCUUGUAAGUCUGGUGUGAAAGCCCGGGGCUUACCCCCGGAAGUGCACUGGAAACUGUGAGGCUAGAGUACCGGAGAGGAGGGUGGAAUUCCUGGUGUAGCGGUGAAAUGCGUAGAUAUCAGGAGGAACACCGGUGGCGAAGGCGGCCCUCUGGACGGAUACUGACGCUUGGACGCGAAAGCGUGUGGAGCAAACAGU